rnacentral:rRNA from 1 species
GUGUCAGCAGCCGCGGUAAGACGAACCGUGCGAACGUUGUUCGGAAUCACUGGGCUUAAAGGGCGCGUAGGCGGGUCGAAAAGUCCGUGGUGAAAUCCCCCCGCUCAACGGGGGAACGGCCGCGGAUACUGUCGGCCUCGAGGGGGGUAGGGGCGAGCGGAACGCUGGGUGGAGCGGUGAAAUGCGUUGAUAUCCAGCGGAACUCCGGUGGCGAAGGCGGCUCGCUGGGCCCUCUCUGACGCUGAGGCGCGAAAGCCAGGGGAGCGAACGGGAUUAGAUACCCCCGUAGUCC